AAAAGCAUAAAUUACCAUUCUUUUAAAAAAUCUAAAAUAUUUCAAAUUCAGUUCAUGAAUUUAAGUUCAAAUUCAGUGAUGAAGACAUGUUGGCAGUUUGAGCUUUGGAGCCUCUAAAAUAAACUUCUCUGACAGAAAAUUAUGCUAAAUUUUCACCGAUGAGUCCUGGAACUCACAUCCAAAAGGAAGGGGAAACCAUGUUAUUUCAAGAAAUAAAACUGUGACCGCAGUGUCCCCUGGUUCUCCUGAAGCACACUUCUCUUGAGUUGGAUAAGAAAAACAUCGAGCACGAAGCAGAUUUGUGUUUUCCCUAGAGGAAGCAAAGUUGAAGCUAUCCAGAGAACAUUCUGAUACUGAAAAAUUAACUACAUUCUGGGAUGCCUCUGCAAGCUGGAAUGCCAGUGCUGGAAUAUCAGAGGGUGCUGUUUUGGUCUGUUAUGAAGAGCUAUGGAAUGUAGAUCUUAAACCAUUUUAUCACACUCACCAGGAACACAAAACAAAUCUUAUUUCAGAAAGAGAAACGUUAAUAUGAAAUACCAAAAAUGAAAGAAAGAUUAUGUGGAUGCCUUUAAUGAAUUUAAUGAGUGUUCUCUCUCUCCCUCACUCCCUCUCUCACCCUCUCCCACCCCUGUCCCCUCUCAAUACAGCAUUCCAUGUUUUUAAAGUUUGACAGAGUCCAGGUGUAGAGAGACUGAAGAAUUUCAGUGCUUAUCUCUUCAAACCUGGUGGGAAGAGAACAGAAUACUCCAUUCUGGGUAAUCCCACACAACCUUUCUUAAAGCAAACCGAGAACCUAGUUUACCCACAAGAAAUCGCCUGGAGACCUGCAAGACUUUGAGAUAUAAGAUGUCAGACAGUAAACCCUGAGAGACGAGCCUUCGGUAUCCCAGAAAGACGGAGGGAGAGCUUCCAGGAUGCAUUGGAGAAAAGCCUUGUGAUGUGCUAUGUGUAGUACGUACGGUUCCUGAAAGUCUCAGUAGACUGACAUUUUCACCAUGAUUAGUGGACCUAUGCUUUGACAGCUCUAGCCUUACUCCGGGUCUUCUCUUCCUCUUGGGUAGCUGAGCCAAGUGGCUGGCUUGACAGUCAUCUGAAUCACUGGCUGACUGAGGACAACAGUGUCCAUGUGUAAAUGUACUUCAUUCUUCCACAAUUUUUCACCUGAAAGGUGAACUAUGUCUGUAGGGACAGCAAGCACACGUCCCUUCAGGGCCCCAGCUGAGACACCUGUUGCUGUGACUCCAUUGUCAGUGUGUUUACUAUGAAAAGUCAUCAGUUGCCAAAGGCCCCGCCAAAGUGAACAUUCUUUGAUGGCAGUAUGUAUCCACUCAAGUGCCAAGGAAGGGACCGGUCCUGUGAGUCACUUGAAUGCUCUCUUCUACGGCUACAAUUUUGGUUUGUUACCAGCACUCUGCUCUGGUAAUUUUCUUUAACCUAUUUUUGCCUAUAUCUUAAUAUUCCUUUUGGUUAUCUCUAAUUGUGUUUUCUGGUGUGUUGUAAUAAACUGCUUCAUCCUGAAA
rnacentral:sRNA from 1 species